rnacentral:lncRNA from 1 species
AAUGUGGCUGGCAACUGCGGGGGUAGAAGAACUCAGGCAAAGUAGGCACAGGAAUGGGGGAGAUGAGAGCCAAGGGACAAACGCCGAGAAAGCGUUCCGACAAGCAUGUGUGUUCAUACAUGCAUACCCCCAACAAAGGGCAAUGCACUGUGUAACAGAACUGAACACAAUUUAACAAAGCUGCUCCCAGCCUUCCUGUCACCUCUUUGGCAGUAGGGCAGGCCAUCUCAACUUCGGACACACAAAGACAUUCUCUUCAGGAGGAAGGCUGUCCUGUGUGGUGGGGACAAGGCUUCAGGUAAGAGCAAAGCUAUGAUAGCUACAGCAUUAAUUGAACAUGCCUAAACAAAAAAGAUGUUAAUUACUAGUUACAGGUAUACAUGCCAAAAUUACCCCCAGGGAUGGGCAUAGUCAAUCAUUUUCCUACAGUGGUGAAAUAAAACAAGCUUUGAUCAUGCUUCAGCAAGUAGAAUUAUGUGGUAGAGAAGUCAGGCCCCAUAUGCUAAAAUUUGCACUUCUUGCCAUAAACUUUUCAUGUAUAUAAGUCAAAACCAAGUCUCCUAGGACCACUAAACCUAUGAUGGGCUUUCAACUGUAACACUCAUUCACAUCUUUAAGUUAGGCCCAUGGUCAUGGAACCUGGCCAAGGUUUCAAGCACGCCUAAGCUGAAGAAAAACUAAAGUCACCCCCAUAUAAUUAGGUCCAGUCUAGGCACAGGAAGCCACAGCUGGUUGACUGAUCAGGGCUUCUCAGGACUGGAUGUUGGUUGAAUUGAGGAUUCCAGAAGUAGCAUCAGAUUUGGAAGCCUUUGAAAGUUCUCGCUGUUGAAAAAUAAAUAACAUCAGUGGCCAUACUGCCUCUCUUACACAUGGCCCACCCUUCUAAGUUUGGUUAAGUGUCAGCAAAAGGUCCCUUGAAGGUAGUUUCUCUGAGAUCCCUAGCCUGCAAUAGGCUGCGUUAGGAGUAAAAGGUGAGGAACUCUGAGCACCAUUCUAUUAGUCACAGACAGAGUGCAUGUGCACGCAUGCCCGUGACCCCUUUUUCCUCAGCCAGUCCAUUCUGUUACACCUCACAGAAGAGAAAUCCUUCAUACAGUCAUGCACUGCAUAAUGAUGUUUCAGUUAACGACAGGCCACAUACACUAUGGUGGUCCCAUAAGAUUAUACCAUAUUUUUACUGUACCUUUUCUAUGUUUAGAUACACAAAUACUUACCAUUGCGUUACAAUUGCCUACAGUAUCCCAGGAAUAGCCUGAAUCAAAAAAACCCACAAUUGCCUACAGUAUUCUUUCUGUAACAUGCUGCCCAGGUUUGUAGCCUAGGAGGAAAACGCCAUACCAUAUAGUUUAGGUGUGUAGGCUGUUCUGUCUAGGACUGUUAAGUACACUCUGAUAUGUGCACAAUGAAAUUGCCCCACAUUCUCAGAACAUAUCCCUGUCAUUAAGCGAGGCAUGACUCUACUUCACAGAGCUACUUUAGAGUUGUCAAGGUAAGUAGGCAACAAGCUUUGGUCUCUUGAGCCCUUUAUAAAACAAUGGGCCAGAACAUAUAUCUACCAAUCCCUGGGGCUGAGGCCUUGUAACCUGCUGGUGAUUUGAUCUCAUGCUGGAGCACAUGGUAGAGCAGCAAAAGAUAAAGCAUGAAUGGCUAUUGAGAAAGACAGAUAUUAGCAGAGGUUAGUUUACCGGCUUUGGUGCUGCCUGGUGGAGUCUAUCAGCCAUAGCAACCCAAACCAGACGAACCUACCUAGGACUAGCCACACAGAUAGGCAGGUACAUUUAAGCCUCAGAUAAAAUGGGCCUUGGUUGAACAAGCGAAAAAGAGAAAGCUGGACCUCUGUCCAGCAAUCAGCCAGAGUGACACACACCCACUUUUAAAGGUAGAAGCACCACCAGCCACGUAAUUUGAAAAACAUGCUGGAGUAGGAAGCCAGUUUCAGUGAUCAAAACUAGCUGCAGCCUUGGCCAACUGUUCCAUUCUCUAUCCCUGCAGCAAUUAAGAGGGGAGGCAGGCUAGGGGUUUAACUCAAUAUCCCCUCAAGGGUGAGGAACAUCCUCUCCUCUUGCUAGUAAAAUAUUGAGAGAAGAAAUCACAGAUUAAGUAAAAGGCAGUGUAGUUAGGUGUUAGCAAAUAUAGAGUAGGAUACUAGGAAGUGAAGAGCAUUCUGGAAAAACUUGCUUCCAGUGCUUCAUCUAUGCUUCAGUAGCUCAAUGUAUGGAAAGAGGCAAAGGUGAGGAAAUCAGCAUUAGCUAGCUGAGAAUAGAGCUGGCGGUUAAGCCCUGAGGGGUUAGGAAGGCAUAUACUCCAGGAAAUAAUCAGCACACAGGCCAAGAGCCUCAUUGUAGGCAGCACACAGCUGGGGCUCCCUUCCCCAUGUGAUUGGGGGCCUCUAUUCUUUCCAGCUAUUGCAGGCCUUUGAUGUCACAAUUGGGGAGGGUCAAGGUUUUCUGUUAAACGUGAUUUAAAACUGUGCCUGACUUUAGGGGCUGAGAAUCCAAUUCAAGUCUGAACAAAUUUUAUUAAUUAAUCUGUUGUGAAUGUAAAUCAGAUGUGUUUUUUUGAGUCCAUGAUAGGAAUUCCUGCUUCCUUUGUAACACUGCUGAGAUUAUUAGUUAGUGUAGCCCUGUGCCCAGAUGAAUGAAGCCAGCAGAUGACAGAUCAGUUUGGAAAAGGGACAUGCAGGGAUUGCCAUACAGACCUGAAGCCCAACAGUGGAACUGUCAGAGAGGGACGGAUCCUUCUAAGAACAAAGAAUUAAGACAAUUACCAAGAACUCCACCAAGAGAGCACCAGGACAGUGAUAGAGGGGUUGCCUCCUGCAGCCAGGGAAUGGUGGAAGCAGCGACUGGCUGCAGAGAAAGGAAAGAGAUCCAUGUAUCAUCCUUCUAAUGAACGUGCACACGCACACACAAUACCUGCACUGGUCAAAGGCUGAGACUAUCUUUAUAUUCAUGUCUAUAAUCCUAUACUUUUUAGUUAAAAAAAAAACAUAUAUAUAUAUAUAUAUAUAUAUAUAUAUAUAUAUAUGGGGCUGGGUGUGGCUCAUGCCUAUAAUCCCAACACUUUGGGAGGCCAAGGCAGGAGGAUUGCUUGAGGCGACAUGUUCGAGACCAGCCUGGGCAACAUAGCAAAACACUGUCUCUAGAAAAAAAUUUUUUUUAAAUAUGAAUUCUUGAUUUACAGAACACCUAUCUUGAGCAUAGUCUAAUAAAAUAUUUGAAAGACUGAAUGUGUUUUGCCACAUACUUUCCACAUCUCUACUGAGUACCUGGCAUGUCUAGUGAUCUGGUUUCACUGGGCUAGAACCCACAUGUAGGGGACCUAUCUCCAUACCAGCUGAGGACUGGGCUUGGAAUUGAGUCUACAGCGACCCUGCCUGAUCUUCAGUUUCCCAGACACAUCCCAGUGCUUCCCAUGGUACCAGUGGGGCUCAGAGUGACUGUUCUCUUUUUUUGCACGUUAGUUUUGGACCAUUAUUUAAUGGUGAGCUAGCUUAUAUCUGUCAACUCUCAGCAUCUCAAUAAGAACCAAAUCCAGGGAUCUUAGAAUCUAGAACAAGUAGGUGGGGCCUCUGGGUGAACAGGCUAGGGACGCAUGUGAGGAUGUGCUUAGACACAGGGCAUACUAACCUUGCUGCCAGAAGGAGGAAGUCGAGACACGGGGGAGUGGUAGACUGUCCCUCCAAAGAUAGGCCGAAUGCUACUAUUGGCCGUAGCAUUGGACAUGGUGGUAGUGUUCAGCUAGGGAGAAGAGCACGUGGGUAACUGAUGUGCAGUAACAUCCUCAGCAUUUCUAGCAACCUGUCUACCCUACAGAGAAAUGACUAUGGGAGGAGGCAGUCUAGGGAAGACGGGUUUACAUGGUGAAGGGCCUGCUGUGUCUAAUACUGCAUAGAUUUGAAGUAACUUGUGAAAAAUUUUCAAAGCCUAUUGCUAUCCAGCAAAUGGAAGUGUACAAUGGUACAACCACUGUGGCACAAGACAUCUAGCAUAUGACCCAGCCAUUCCACUCUUAGAUGUUUCUACCCAAACGAAAUGAAAGCAUAGAUCCAUACAAAGACUUAGACGUAAAUGUUCACAACAGCUCCCUGCAGCAGCCAAAAGCUGGCAACAGCCAAAUACCCAUCAGCAGGUAAGUGGACAAGCAAACUGUGGUAAAUUCAUACAGUGGAAUGAAUAUUGAUCUACAAUAAAAAGGAGUGACCUUUUGAUACAUACAGCAACAGAGAUGAAUCUACACUAAAUGAAAGAAGCCAGACAAAAAAGAAUAUGUACUGCGGGAUUCUAUGUAAAAUGUUUCAAAAUGAAAACUAAUCUAUAGUUAGUUAAAGACUAAAUCCCUACUCGCCACAGCUAGAGGCUGGGGGCAAACUAGGAGCCAGGGAAGGAGGGAGGUAAUACAAAGAGGCACUAGGAAACUUUGGGGACCAUGAAAUGUUCAUUAUCUAAAUUAUGGUGACAGUUUCAUUGUAUAAACCUACAUAUGUCAAAACUUAUUAUAUGCUAAUGAUAAGAGCUGUAAAUGUUUUUGAGAUGGGGUCUCACUCUGUCACCCAGGCUGGAGUACAGUGGUACAAUCUUGGUUCACUGCAGCCUCGACCUCCUGGGCUCAAGCAAUCCUCCCACCCCAGCCUCCUGAGUAGCUGGGACCACAGGCGUGUGCCACCACAACCAGCUAAUUUUUGUAUUUGUAGUAGAGAUGGGGCUUCAACAUGUUUCCUAGUCUCCCAACUCCUGAGUUCAAGCAAUCCCCCUACCUUGGCUUCCCGAAGUAGUGGGAUUACAGGCUUGAGCCACUGUACCCAGCCAACACUUUUUUUUUUUUUUUUUAAUUAAAAAAAUUCUAGGGGGCCGGGCACGGUGGCUCAUCUGAGGUCGGGAGUAUGAGACCAGCCUGACCAACAUGGAGAAACCCCGUCUCUACUAAAAAUACAAAAUUAGGUGUGGUAGCACAUGCCUGUAAUCCCAGCUACUCGGGAGGUGGAGGUUCACGCCUGUAAUCCCAGCACUUUGGGAGGCUGGGGCGGGCAGAUCUUCUGAGGUCAAGAGAUUGAGACCAUCCUGGCCAACAAAGUGAAACCCCAUCUCUACUAAAAAUACAAAAAUUAGGUGGGCAUAGUGGCGCGGGCCUGUAGUCCCAGCUACUCAGGAGGCUGAGGCACGAGAAUCACUUGAACCCAGGAGGUGUAGGUUGCAGUGAGCUGAGAUUGCGCCACUGCACUCCAGCCUGGGCAACAGAGCGAGACUCCGUCUCAAAAAAACAAAACCAAAAAAAACACAUUUUAGGCCAGGCACAGUGGCUCAUGCCUGUAAUCCCAGCACUUUGGGAGGCUGAGGCAGGAGGAUCACUUGAGCUCAGGAGUUUGAGACCAGCCUGGACAACUUAGUGAGACCUCAUCUCUACUGAAACUCAAAAAAAAAAAAAAAAAAACACCACCAACAAAAAAAAAAACCCCAAAAUUAGCCGGGUAUGGUGGCAUGUGCCCGUAAGUCUCAGCUACAUGGGAGGCUGAGGUUAGAGAAUCACUUGAGCCCAGGAGGCUGAGCUGCAGUGAGCCAUGAUGGCGCCACUGCACUCCGGUGUGGGUGAUAGAGCAAGACACUGUCUAAAAAUAAUAAAUUUAAUGUUAUAAAAUAGCAGUAGAGAGAAGAAAUAAUACUCUUUUAUUUAUCAAAAAGAAAAAAGUAGGCCAGGCACAGUGGCUCACGCCUGUAAUCCCAGCACUUUGGAAGUCAAGGUGGGUGGAUCACCUGAGGUCAGGAAUUCAAGACCCUAGCCAACAUGGAGAAACCCUGUCUCUACUAAAAAUACAAUAUUAGCCGGGUGUGGUGGCACAUGCCUGUAAUCCCAGCUACUUGGGAGGCUGAGGCAGGAGAAUUGCUUGAAACCAGGAGGCAGAGGCUGUAGUGAGCUGAGAUCACCCAUUGCACUCCAGCCUAGGCAACAAGAGCGAAACUCCAUCUCAAAAAAAAAAAAAGUCCUCUCUGACUGUGCUGUAGAGAUGAAGAAUUAUUACAUCUUCCAUUUAGUAAGCGUGAACGUUGUUUUUCACAUGGUACCACAAGGCCAUCUCUUGGUCUUACAGGGAAAAUGGCAUUACAGGUUUUCAGGAAAACUGCUGAAGCUUUCUUUUCAUCGUUACCAGAAUGUUGGCAAUCAUUCCCCCACCGCACCCCGAAUUUAAUGCAAGGACGCAACAAGCACAGACACCAAAGCUGGCCACUCCGUGACUGUCACUAUAGGCCGCUACUCAGCCUUCCAUCCACUCAAGUGGACUCGACAUGCAGGGACAGAAAAACCCUUUCCCAUCUCUGCAGGACAGAGGGCAAGAGGUAGGGAAAAGAAAGAUCAGAGUGUUACUGUGUCUAUGUAGAAAAGGAAGACAUAAACUCCAUUUUGAUCUGUACUAAGAAAAAUUGUUUUGCCUUGAGAUGCUGUUAAUCUGCAACUUUAGCCCCAACCCUGUGCUCACAGAAACAUGUGCUGUAUGGAAUCAAGGUUCAAGGGAUCUAGGGCUGUGCAGCAUGUGCCUUGUUAACAAUAUGUUUACAGGCAGUAUGCUCGGUAAAAGUCAUCUGCAUUCUCCAUUCUCGAUUAACCAGGGGCACGAUGCACUGCGGAAAGCCGCAGGGACCUCUGCCCAAGAAAGCCUGGGUAUUGUCCAGGUAUUUCCCCGCACUGAGACAGCCUGAGAUAUGGCCUCGUGGGAAGGGAAAGACCUGACCAUCCCCCAGCCCGACACCCGUCGUCUGUGCUCAGGAGGAUUCGUAAAAGAGGAAGGCCUCCGUCUCCUGCAUGCCCCUGGGAACGGAAUAUCUCGGUGUAAAACCCGAUCGUACGUACCUAUGUUCGUUCUAUUCUUAGAUAGGAGAAAACUGCCCUGUGGCUGGAGGCGAGAUACGCUGGCGGCAAUGCUGCUCUGUUACUCUUUACUACACUGAGAUGUUUGGGUGGGGAGAAGCAUAAAUCUGGCCUACGUGCACAUCUAGGCACAGUACCUUCCCUUGAACUUAUUUGUGACACAGAUUCCUUUGCUCACGUUUUCCUGCUGACCUUCUCCCCACUAUCACCCUGUCCUCCUGCCGCAUUCCCCUUGCCAAGAUAGUGAAAAUAGUAAUCAAUAAAUACUGAGGGAACUCAAGAGACCGGUGCUGGUGCAGGUCCUCUGUAUGCUGAGUGCUGGUCCCCUGGGCCCACUGUUCUUUCUCUAUACUUUGUGUCUUAUUUCUUUUCUCUGUCUCUUGUCCCACCUGAUGAGAAAUACCCACAGGUGUGGAGGGGCUGGCCCCCUUCAAAGAGGUGGCUGGGACUACCCUCACCCACUCCCUUGAAAUCAG